rnacentral:RNase_P_RNA from 1 species
CGAGUUGGUCGGGUGAUCGCUGCUUUAUGGUUGUGUUGAAAGACAGACGCAUAAAGGGGAGGAAAGUCCGGGCUCCGCAGGGCAGGGUGCUAGAUAACGUCUAGGGGAUGAAAGUCCACGACAAGUGCAACAGAAAGUAUACCGCCGUUUAUCGGUAAGGGUGAAAUGGUGCGGUAAGAGCGCACCGCAUGGCUGGUGACAGUACAUGGCAAGGUAAACUCCACCCGGAGCAAGACCAAAUAGGCCUCAUUGACGCUGCCCGCGUAAGGGGCGGGUUGGUCGCUUGAACCGGUGAGCAAUUGCCGGUCUAGAGGAAUGAUCACCACUGAGAAAUCAGUACAGAACCCGGCUUAUAGACCAACUCACUGA